rnacentral:rRNA from 1 species
GACGAACGCUGGCGGCGUGCUUAACACAUGCAAGUCGAACGGAAAGGCCCUGCUUUUGUGGGGUGCUCGAGUGGCGAACGGGUGAGUAACACGUGAGUAACCUGCCCUUGACUUUGGGAUAACUUCAGGAAACUGGGGCUAAUACCGGAUAGGAGCUCCUGCUGCAUGGUGGGGGUUGGAAAGUUUCGGCGGUUGGGGAUGGACUCGCGGCUUAUCAGCUUGUUGGUGGGGUAGUGGCUUACCAAGGCGUUGACGGGUAGCCGGCCUGAGAGGGUGGCCGGCGACAUUGGGACUGCGAUACGGCCCAGACUCCUACGGGAGGCAGCAGUGGGGAAUAUUGCACAAUGGGCGGGAGCCUGAUGCGGCAACCCCGCGUGCGGGAUGACGGCCUUCGGGUUGUAAACCGCUUUCGCCUGUGACGAAGCGUGAGUGACGGUAAUGGGUAAAGAAGCACCGGCUAACUACGUG